GGUCGCUUGGUGUAGUUGGUUAUCACGUCUGUCUAACACACAGACGGUCAGCAGUUCGAAUCUGCUAGCAACCA